rnacentral:rRNA from 1 species
CCUACGGGAGGCAGCAGUGGGGAAUAUUGGGCAAUGGACGCAAGUCUGACCCAGCAACGCCGCGUGAAGGAAGAAGGCUUUCGGGUUGUAAACUUCUUUUAAGGGGGAAGAGCAGAAGACGGUACCCCUUGAAUAAGCCACGGCUACCUACGUGCCAGCAGCCGCGGUAAUACGGAGGUGGCAAGCGUGGUCCGGAUUUACGGGGUGUAAAGGGCGUGCAGCCGGAGAGACAAGUCAGAGGGGAAAUCCGCAGGCUCAACCUGCGAACUGCAUUUUAAACUGUUUCCCUUGAGUCUCGGAGCGGUCAUCGGAAUUCCUCGUGUAGCGGUGCAAUGCGUAGAUAUUAGGAAGAACACCAGUGGCGAAGGCGGGUGACUGGACGACACCUGCCGGUGCGGCGCG